GCCAGACUCCUACGGGAGGCAGCAGUGGGGGAUAUUGCACAAUGGGGGGAACCCUGAUGCAGCGACGCCGCGUGGGUGAAGGAGCGUUUCGGCGCGUAAAGCCCUAUCGGCAGGGAAGAAGGAGGACGGUACCUGACUAAGAAGCCCCGGCUAACUACGCGCCAGCAGCCGCGGUAAUACGUAGGGGGCAAGCGUUAUCCGGAUUUACUGGGUGUAAAGGGGGCGCAGACGGCAGCGCAAGCCAGGAGUGAAAGCCCGGGGCCCAACCCCGGGACUGCUCUUGGAACUGCGCGGCUGGAGUGCAGGAGGGGCAGGCGGAAUUCCUGGUGUAGCGGUGAAAUGCGUAGAUAUCAGGAGGAACACCGGUGGCGAAGGCGGCCUGCUGGACCGUGACUGACGUUGAGGCUCGAGAGCGUGGGGAGCAAACAGGAUUAGAUACCCGCGUAU
rnacentral:rRNA from 1 species